UGGGUUGCUCAAUCAUGGUUUGGAACCUCCAGAACAAACAAAUCUUUUCUCUUUAUAAAUUAAUUUACCUCUAGUAUUUCACUGUAGUGAUGGAAAGCUAAUAAAGCCAAGAAUGAGGAAUUGUGUGCUACAAAAUACCACAUAAGUAACCUGACCACAGUCAAUUCUCUGGGCUUCCCAAACAUCCUUUCAGAAAAUCUAUUUUGCAUGCCUAAAUGGAUUUAGAAUCAUGAACAGAGCAGACAAAAAAGGUGGAAAAAUAAAAGAAAAAAGCAACCAAGGAAUUCAUCUGUGCCAUGACCUCCUAGUUCUUUGCUAUUAUGAAACAGUCUAUGAGUCCAACAAACUUUAGGCUCUGGCACCAAUCAGCUCCGUGGCCUCGGUGAGUCUUUUAACCAUUCCAGGCCUCAGUUUCAUCUUCUGCUUUCCCUGCCUAUUUGUAUAUUGUGAAGAUCAGAGAAAUCAUAAGAAUGCCUGAAAUCAGAAGAAAUCUGAAAAUGCUACAGAAGCUAAGGGCAUUAUCACAAUCCUAUCUUCCAAAUUGAAAAAGUAAAUCUUUUUACUUUCCAGUCUUCUCUAUGGAGUUCAACAUCUUCCAAAAGACAUAAUCUUCUUCACAGCUACCAGACAUUUGUCACAAACCUGUCAGGAAGCCAAGCAAAGAGGCUAGCAAACUUUUGCAUAUGCUGUUUUUAAUCUGUGAAGCAAACUAAUAUACCAGGGCUCUACCAUAGUCAAAUUAAUACACUGACUCCACCACAGUCACAGUCCUUCUUUUAAAGAGGAAAUGGCAUUGGCUUGUGUAGUGUGGCUUUGUAGCUGUUAAAGGAGACUCGGAUUUGCUGUUGAGCAACAACAUCUUGGUGUGUUCAGGGGUCAUAAGCCACUGGGAGCCCCAAGGCUCAAUGCUUGCUACUUGGAUUUGGUCUUGGAUUUAGGAUAGGAUUUCGAUUCACCCCCCUUGUGUCCU